GACGAACGCUGGCGGCGUGCUUAACACAUGCAAGUCGAACGGUAAGGCCCUUCGGGGUACACGAGUGGCGAACGGGUGAGUAACACGUGGGUGAUCUGCCCUGCACUUCGGGAUAAGCCUGGGAAACUGGGUCUAAUACCGGAUAGGACCACUGCCUGCAUGGGUGGUGGUGGAAAGCUUUUGCGGUGUGGGAUGGGCCCGCGGCCUAUCAGCUUGUUGGUGGGGUGAUGGCCUACCAAGGCGACGACGGGUAGCCGGCCUGAGAGGGUGUCCGGCCACACUGGGACUGGGUUACGGCCCAGACUCCUACGGGAGGCAGCAGUGGGGAAUAUUGCACAAUGGGCGCAAGCCUGAUGCAGCGACGCCGCGUGAGGGAUGACGGCCUUCGGGUUGUAAACCUCUUUCAGCACCGACGAAGCGCAAGUGACGGUAGGUGCAGAAGAAGGACCGGCCAACUACGUGCCAGCCGCCGCGGUAA
rnacentral:rRNA from 1 species